rnacentral:rRNA from 1 species
GACGAACCGUGCGAACGUUAUUCGGAAUCACUGGGCGUAAAGGGCUCGUAGGCGGCCAACUCAGUCGGACGUGAAAUCCCUCGGCUUAACCGGGGAACUGCGUCCGAUACUGGAUGGCUUGAGUGUGGGAGAGGGAUGCGGAAUUCCAGGUGUAGCGGUGAAAUGCGUAGAUAUCAGGAGGAACACCGGUGGCGAAGGCGGGUCUCUGGGCAGUAACUGACGCUGAGGAACGAAAGCGUGGGUAGCAAACAGG